AUUGAACGCUGGCGGCAGGCCUAACACAUGCAAGUCGAGCGAGCGUCGGACGGGUGAGUAUUGUAUGGGGACUGCCCGAUAGAGGGGGAGAACUACAGGAGACGGUAUCUAAUACCGCAUACUAUCUUCUGACGCAUAUGGGAUUAGCUAGUGGGUGAGGUAAUGGCGCACCUAGGCGACGCUCCCUAGCGGGUCUGAGAGGAUGAUCAGCCACACUGGGACUGAGACACGGCCCAGACUCCUACGGAGGCAGCAGUGGGGAAUAUUGCACAAUGGGCGCAAGCCUGAUGCAGCCAUGCCGCGUGUAUGAAGAAGGCCCUCGGGUUGUAAAGUACUUUCAGUCGGGAGGCGUUACCGACAGAAGAAGCACCGGCUAACUCCGUGCCAGCAGCCGCGGUAAUAC
rnacentral:rRNA from 1 species